GUGGUUAUGGCUCAGAGGAAAGAGCGCUUGCCUAGCAUGCAUGAAGCACUGGGUUCAAUCCUUAGCACCACA
rnacentral:tRNA from 1 species